rnacentral:rRNA from 1 species
CCUACGGGAGGCAGCAGUGGGGAAUAUUGGACAAUGGGCGGAAGCCUGAUCCAGCAACGCCGCGUGAGGGAUGAAUGCCUUCGGGUUGUAAACCUCUUUCGGUGGGGACGAAGCGAAAGUGACGGUACCCACUAAAGAAGCACCGGCCAACUACGUGCCAGCAGCCGCGGUAAUACGUAGGGUGCGAGCGUUGUCCGGAAUUAUUGGGCGUAAAGGGCUCGUAGGCGGUUUGUCGCGUCGGGAGUGAAAACACACAGCUUAACUGUGUGCUUGCUUCCGAUACGGGCAGACUAGAGGUAUGCAGGGGAGAACGGAAUUCCUGGUGUAGCGGUGAAAUGCGCAGAUAUCAGGAGGAACACCGGUGGCGAAGGCGGUUCUCUGGGCAUUACCUGACGCUGAGGAGCGAAAGUGUGGGGAGCGAACAGGAUUAGAUACCCUGGUAGUCCACACCGUAAACGUUGGGCGCUAGGUGUGGGGCCUAUUCCAUGGGUUCCGUGCCGCAGCUAACGCAUUAAGCGCCCCGCCUGGGGAGUACGGCCGCAAGGCUAAAACUCAAAGGAAUUGACGG